CGAGGUCCAUCCGGUGGCAACACUGGAGAAGACCUAGUGGCGAACGGGUGAGUAACACGUGAGUAACCUGCCCCGAAGACUGGGAUAACACCGGGAAACCGGUGCUAAUACCGGAUACCCCCACCAAGUCGCAUGGCUAGGUGAGGAAAUGGAUUCCGCUUCGGGAGGGGCUCGCGACCUAUCAGCUUGUUGGUGGGGUAACGGCCCACCAAGGCUGCGACGGGUAGCUGGUCUGAGAGGACGAUCAGCCACACUGGGACUGAGACACGGCCCAGACUCCUACGGGAGGCAGCAGUGGGGAAUCUUGCGCAAUGGGCGAAAGCCUGACGCAGCAACGCCGCGUGAGGGACGAAGGCCUUCUGGGUUGUAAACCUCUUUCAGCAGGGACGAUUAUGACGGUACCUGCAGAAGAAGCCCCGGCCAACUACGUGCCAGCAGCCGCGGUAAUACGUAGGGGGCGAGCGUUGUCCGGAUUCAUUGGGCGUAAAGAGCUCGUAGGCGGCUUUGCAAGUCGGGUGUGAAACCUCCAGGCUCAACCUG
rnacentral:rRNA from 1 species